CAGCAGCCACGGUAAUACAGAGGGUGCGAGCGUUAAUCGGAUUUACUGGGCGUAAAGCGUGCGUAGGCGGCUUUUUAAGUCGGAUGUGAAAUCCCUGAGCUUAACUUAUGAAUUGCAUUCGAUACUGGGAAGCUAGAGUAUGGGAGAGGAUGGUAGAAUUCCAGGUGUAGCGGUGAAAUGCGUAGAGAUCUGGAGGAAUACCGAUGGCGAAGGCAGCCAUCUGGCCUAAUACUGACGCUGAGGUACGAAAGCAUGGGGAGCAAACAGGAUUAGAUACCCGAGUAGUCCCUGUCUCUUAUAC
rnacentral:rRNA from 1 species